GGGUUGUGAGGUUAAGCGACCAAGCGUACACGGUGGAUGCCCUGGCAGUCAGAGGCGAUGAAGGACGUGCUAAUCUGCG
rnacentral:rRNA from 1 species